rnacentral:rRNA from 1 species
GACGAACGCUGGCGGCGUGCUUAACACAUGCAAGUCGAACGGGCCUGUCUUCUUUUUUGGGGGGUGGGUUGAGUGGCGAACGGGUGAGUAUCACGUGAGUAACCUGCCCUUCGGUCCUGGAUAACCGCUUGAAAGGGCGGCUAAUACGGGGUGGUCCGGUUGGUCCGCAUGGGCUGGUCGGGAUAGAUUCACUGUUUUUGGUGUUUCGGCGGGGGAUGGGCUCGCGGCCUAUCAGCUUGUUGGUGGGGUGAUGGCCUACCAAGGCGGUGACGGGUAGCCGGCCGGAGGGGGUGGGGGGCCAGACGGGGACUGGGAUACGGCCCAGACUCCUGCGGGAGGCAGCAGUGGGGGGGAUUGCAGUAGGGGCGGAAGCCUGAUGCAGCGACGUCGCGUGAGGGAUGGAGGCCUUCGGGUUGUGAACCUCUGUUUCCGGUGGUGAAGGCCCUGUCCGUGUGGUGGGGUUGACGGUAGCCGGGGAUGAAGCGCCGGCUAACUACGUG